AUGCUGAACAAACCUCACAUCAGAUGUACUUGUGAGAACAGGUUGGUAAGGAGAACAGAGAAGAACGAGCUGGGCUUUUCCUCUGAAUUUGGCCAAUCUAGCUGGAUUGGCUUCAGGCAGGUUUUUGUAAAGGGGGCAUGUCAGAGUCCCUCACUGUGGCUCACGUUCGGCAGUGGGACCAAGCUGGAAUUGAAACGGGCUGAUGCUAAGCCAACUGUCUCCAUCUUCCCACCAUCCAAGGAGCAGUUAGAGACUGGAGGUGCCUCAAUCGUGUGCUUCAUAAACCAGUUCUAUCCCAGAGACAUCAAUGUCAAGUGGAAGGUAGAUGGCAAUGAAAAAACAGAUAACAUCCUGAACAGUGUGACAGAUCAGGACAGCAAGGACAGCACCUACAGCAUGAGCAGCACCCUCUCAUUGACCAAAGACGAAUAUGAAAGGCAUAGCCUCUAUACCUGUGAGGCUGCUCAUAAGACAUCAGCCUCACCCAUCGUCAAGAGCUUCAACAGGAAUGAGUGUUAGAGCCAAAGGUCCUGAGGCACCACCACCUGCUCCCCAGGCCCUUCCAAUCUUCCUCCUAAAGUCUUGGGGCUUUCCACAGAGGUGACCUACCGCUGUUGCAGUCCUUCAAAUCCCCUUCCCACCUCGUCCUCCCCCUCCUCCCUUGGCUUUUAUCAUGCUAAUGUUUGGGGAAGAUACUGAAUAAAGUGAAUCUUUGCACUUGA